rnacentral:misc_RNA from 1 species
UUUCCGUAGGUGAACCUGCGGAAGGAUCAUUAACGUAUAACGGAGGUUCGAGGGCUGCCGCUGAACCAAUUGUUCGUUCACGCACGAUUGCACUCACACACCCCUAUCUCACACCUACGUGCACCAUCGCGUCGGUCCCCCUUUUGCUUGUUCGGCGGGGGGCUUGCGUUUUCACUCAUUCUUUGAAUGCAGUGUAGACUGUAUUUUUUGUUUAUGCGAUCACGAAAUCUUCACAACUUUCCACCACGGAUCUCUUGGCUAUCGCAUCGACGCAGAAGG